rnacentral:rRNA from 1 species
CACCGGCGGCUCGAGUGGUGGCCACUUUUAUUGGGUCUAAAGCGUCCGUAGCCGGCUUGGCAAGUCCCCUGGGAAAUCUGGCGGCUUAACCGUCAGGCGUCCAGAGGAUACUGCCAGGCUUGGGACCGGGAGAGGUGAGAGGUACCUCAGGGGUAGGGGUGAAAUCUUGUGAUCCCUGAGGGACCACCAGUGGCGACGGCGUCUCACUAGAACGGGUCCGACGGUCAGGGACGAAAGCUGGGGGCACGAACCGG